rnacentral:tRNA from 1 species
GGGGCCGUGGUCUAGCGGUUAUGACGCCGCCCUCACACGGCGGAGGUCGCCGGUUCAAAUCCGGCCGGCCCCA